AUACCCUGGUAGUCCACGCCGUAAACGAUGAGUGCUAAGUGUUAGAGGGUUUCCGCCCUUUAGUGCUGAAGUUAACGCAUUAAGCACUCCGCCUGGGGAGUACGGCCGCAAGGCUGAAACUCAAAGGAAUUGACGGGGGCCCGCACAAGCGGUGGAGCAUGUGGUUUAAUUCGAAGCAACGCGAAGAACCUUACCAGGUCUUGACAUCCUCUGACAACCCUAGAGAUAGGGCUUCUCCUUCGGGAGCAGAGUGACAGGUGGUGCAUGGUUGUCGUCAGCUCGUGUCGUGAGAUGUUGGGUUAAGUCCCGCAACGAGCGCAACCCUUGAUCUUAGUUGCCAUCAUUUAGUUGGGCACUCUAAGGUGACUGCCGGUGACAAACCGGAGGAAGGUGGGGAUGACGUCAAAUCAUCAUGCCCCUUAUGACCUGGGCUACACACGUGCUACAAUGGACGGUACAAAGAGCUGCAAGACCGCGAGGUGGAGCUAAUCUCAUAAAAACCG
rnacentral:rRNA from 1 species